rnacentral:rRNA from 1 species
UGGGGAAUAUUGCACAAUGGGCGAAAGCCUGAUGCAGCGACGCCGCGUGAGGGAUGACGGCCUUCGGGUUGUAAACCUCUUUCAGCAGGGACGAAGCGCAAGUGACGGUACCUGCAGAAGAAGCACCGGCUAACUACGUGCCAGCAGCCGCGGUAAUACGUAGGGUGCAAGCGUUGUCCGGAAUUACUGGGCGUAAAGAGUUCGUAGGCGGUUUGUCGCGUCGUUUGUGAAAACCAGCAGCUCAACUGCUGGCUUGCAGGCGAUACGGGCAGACUUGAGUACUGCAGGGGAGACUGGAAUUCCUGGUGUAGCGGUGAAAUGCGCAGAUACCAGGAGGAACACCGGUGGCGAAGGCGGGUCUCUGGGCAGUAACUGACGCUGAGGAACGAAAGCGUGGGUAGCGAACAGG